UCGCACUGGGAGAGCGCUCCUGUCGCAGACCUAGACAGCAACAGAACUUGGACCAUCAGGGAGCUCCAGGCCCAGCAGUAACAAGAGCCAGGGCACAAGACCUCAGUCCGCACCAGUACCAGGCAGAAGAAGCAUCACUUGGGGAAAUGGAGAAACUGAGGCUCAGAGAGGAUCAGGGGCCUGCCCCAUCACCAGUGACAUAGCAAACCUGCAAAGGCCCCUGCCCGUGGACCCUUCCCCAUUGCCCAGCUGUGUGCGCAUCAGAAGCUGAGAAGGAAGUGGCACCAUCAAGGCAAGAACUCCCAAGGUCAAGUCUAGACACCAUUCCUGGGCCCUUGGAGACAGGCCAGCAUGUAGGGGCUCUAGUCUGACCUCCUCCAGGACGCCUUCCCCGAGUGACCUCUGAUCUUCCUCUUCUGAAUUGCUAGGGCUCCCUGAGUGAGUCAUUGCCAUUUAGGACUCACUGCCUUGGGACUCUUGACUCUGUUAGUGGGAAAGCCUCUUCCUUCUUCCUCCCCACAGUCUCUUAAAACUGAAAGAAGCAUUUUCCAGGCAGAUUUGAGGCACCCUAAAUCAACCUCCUGAUUCCUGUGUCACCCCACAUCCUAGCACCUGUAGUCACCCAUCACAUAUCUUCCCGGAGCUGAGAGCAGGGCAGGGCCUAGAGCCCAUAAGGUACAGGCCAGUUACCCAGAUAGGCAAACAGAACACAAAUUUGGAGAGGCUGGGGGACCCUCACUCCAUCACUGGGGUCCCAGCAACAGUUCUGCUGAGGGACGGGAAAGCAGAGAAGUUCAUCUGGAGCUGAGGGUCCCUGCUGGGAGGGUUCCUGAAGCCCCCCUGUAGGAACAGGUAUCAAGGUAGGCCCUGCAACCAGGAGGGGAGGGCAGGACAGGAUCCAGACUACACAUCUGUCAUGGGGAGAAGUAUGCAGACCUGUCCUGGGAAGCCCCGGAAGGUGCUCUGGGUACCAACCAUGAGGGUGGAAGUAGCUGCAGGAAGAAGAUUUCCCCCCUGACCCUGACACCCAGGGACUCUAAUCAUCCCCAAAGCCCAGCAGCC